AGCGAACGCUGGCGGCAGGCCUAACACAUGCAAGUCGAGCGCCGUAGCAAUACGGAGCGGCAGACGGGUGAGUAACACGUGGGAACGUACCCUUCGGUUCGGAACAACCCAGGGAAACUUGGGCUAAUACCGGAUACGUCCGAGAGGAGAAAGAUUUAUCGCCGAAGGAUCGGCCCGCGCCUGAUUAGCUUGUUGGUGAGGUAACGGCUCACCAAGGCUACGAUCAGUAGCUGGUCUGAGAGGAUGAUCAGCCACACUGGGACUGAGACACGGCCCAGACUCCUACGGGAGGCAGCAGUGGGGAAUAUUGGACAAUGGGCGCAAGCCUGAUCCAGCCAUGCCGCGUGAGUGAUGAAGGCCCUAGGGUUGUAAAGCUCUUUCGGCGGGGAAGAUAAUGACGGUACCCGCAGAAGAAGCCCCGGCUAACUUCGUG
rnacentral:rRNA from 1 species